rnacentral:rRNA from 1 species
UACGUAGGGUGCAAGCGUUGUCCGGAAUUAUUGGGCGUAAAGAGCUCGUAGGCGGUUUGUUGCGUCGGCUGUGAAAUCCCGAGGCUCAACCUCGGGUCUGCAGUCGAUACGAGCAAACUAGAGUGUUGCAGGGGAGACUGGAAUUCCUGGUGUAGCGGUGAAAUGCGUAGAUAUCAGGAGGAACACCUGUGGUGUAGACAGCUUACUGGACCACUUCUGACGCUGAGGCACGAAAGCGUGGGUAGCAAACAGG